GACGAACCGAGCGAACGUUAUUCGGAAUCACUGGGCUUAAAGGGCGCGUAGGCGGGCGGCCAAGUCAGGGGUGAAAGCCCCCAGCUCAACUGGGGAAGUGCCUUUGAUACUGGUCGUCUCGAGGGAGAUAGGGGCGUGCGGAACUUCCGGUGGAGCGGUGAAAUGCGUAGAUAUCGGAAGGAACACCGGUGGCGAAAGCGGCGCGCUGGAUCUCUUCUGACGCUGAGGCGCGAAAGCCAGGGGAGCGAACGGG
rnacentral:rRNA from 1 species